CACGCCCUAAACGAUGUCAACUAGGUGUUGGGUGGGUAAAACCAUUUAGUACCGGAGCUAACGCGUGAAGUUGACCGCCUGGGGAGUACGGCCGCAAGGUUAAAACUCAAAGGAAUUGACGGGGACCCGCACAAGCGGUGGAUGAUGUGGAUUAAUUCGAUGCAACGCGAAAAACCUUACCUACCCUUGACAUGUCAGGAAUCCUUGAGAGAUUGAGGAGUGCCCGAAAGGGAACCUGAACACAGGUGC
rnacentral:rRNA from 1 species